GAUGAACGCUGGCGGCGUGCUUAACACAUGCAAGUCGAACGGAAAGGCUCCUGCUUGCAGGGGUACUCGAGUGGCGAACGGGUGAGUAACACGUGGGUGAUCUGCCCUGCACUUCGGGAUAAGCCUGGGAAACUGGGUCUAAUACCGGAUAGGACGAUGGUUUGGAUGCCAUUGUGGAAAGUUUUUCGGUGUGGGAUGAGCUCGCGGCCUAUCAGCUUGUUGGUGGGGUAAUGGCCUACCAAGGCGUCGACGGGUAGCCGGCCUGAGAGGGUGUACGGCCACAUUGGGACUGGGAUACGGCCCAGACUCCUACGGGAGGCAGCAGUGGGGAAUAUUGCACAAUGGGCGCAAGCCUGAUGCAGCGACGCCGCGUGGGGGAUGACGGCCUUCGGGUUGUAAACUCCUUUCGCUAGGGACGAAGCGUUUUGUGACGGUACCUGGAGAAGAAGCACCGGCUAACUACGUG
rnacentral:rRNA from 1 species